UACCAUUAUGGUGAGUCCAUUAAAACUCAUUCAGUCAUCAAUCUCAUGUUUCCAGUUUAUUUUCACAAACAUGUAGGAGUAGACAUUUCCAUGGUAACAAGACUGAUAAUUGUUGGUUUCUGAUAAACCAUAAACAAAUAUAAACAAUUAACAGCACUUGUUACCAUGGAAAUGUCUACUUCUACAUGUUGAAACCAGUAUGGCCAAACCAGCCUAAUAUUCCUUCCAAUUUUCUACAUGGUCCUUUGAGCCGGAAUGAUGAGGCCAUUAAAACUCAUUCAUUCGAGUAGCAGAAGAGGACAGCAGUCUGUAAAUGUUUUGUACGUUUUCUCAUUUAGAUUUUAGCAUGGUUGUCAUUGCUAGGACACAUGGUUUUGUUUACUGUGUUUACCAUGGUAAACACAUGCUCAAGUCACGUCUGUUCUCAUGCGUAUUGCUUGGCUUUGCAGCUUCGGUUUAAUAAGUAGUAAGGCGUGGCCAAAGCCAGGUAUAAUUUACCUUGUUUGCAAGUAGUUGUUAGUAAAAGCAGUCGAGCAGCAGAAGAGGACAGCAGUCUGUAAGUGUUUACUAUCUUUUCUCAUUAGAUAUUAGUGUGUUUGUUCUCAUGCGCAUCGCAUGGCUUUGCAGUUUCGGUGUAAUAAGUAGUAAGGCGUGGCCAGCUGAAUUCAAUUACGUGGAAUCAGGGAAGUAUAUAUUUGUGCAGUACACCGCAGCAGCCCGACGAGUUUAAAGACCAGCGACUCUUCCUGCGCAACUCCACCGAGCAAGGACACUGACAAGACACCCGAGUACCCCCCCCCCCCCCCUUUACUUUUUGUAUAACUUGUUCUCAUCUACUUGUUCUAGUUAAUUGUACUCAAUGUGCUUCCAAAUCUCUACUAUUACUAUUAACACUCGUAAAUCACACACUGUACGUUGGAGGCAGCGCAAUCCUAAUAAUCUGCGAAAUGUCCCUAUGUCCUCUACUACUUUACUCUCUAUUCCAGUUGGUCUCUGGAACUGCCAGUCUGCUGUAAACAAAGCAGACUUUCUUUCAUCUAUUGCUCAUUCAAGUCUCAACCUCAUGGCCCUAACUGAGACUUGGAUCAAACCUGAGGACACUGCCACUCCUGCAGCCCUCUCCACUAAAUUCACUUUUCCCCACACCCGAUUGUGAGGGGUGGAGGUACUACUUAUUUCAAAAGAAUGGAAAUUUGAUAGUCUACCAUCUCUUACCAGCAACAGUUAAUUUGAAGCAAAUGCAAUUACUAUUACCCACCCUGAUAAUCCAUUUUGUAGUUAUUUAUCGUCCCCCAGGUCAACUGGGUAACUUCUUAGACGAGUUGGAUGUGUUACUCUCAAACUUCCCUGAGGAAUACGGUACUCCUCUGGUACUACUCGGGGAUUUCAACAUCCUCCUAGAUAAACCACAGGCUGCUGACUUCAACACUCUGUUUGCCUCAUUUGACCUCAAGCGCGUGUGUACUACAGCUUCUCACAAAUCAGAACAACCUCACGGACAGCAACCAAUCUGGCUCCAAAACCGGCCACUCAACUGAGACUGCACUGCUCUCGGUUACUGAAGCCCUGAGACUGGCAAGAGGAGCUUCCAAAUCUUCAGAACUCAUCUCACGGGAUCUGUCUGCUGCUUUUGACACAGUUAACCAACAGAUCCUCCUGUUCACCCUCAUGAAGAUGGGCAUCUCAGGAACUGCACUCCAGUGGUUCAAGUCUUACCUCUCUGAUGAUCCGGCAGUAGCUGUUCACAUUGCAGCCUGACAGACAUUUCUGGCUGGAUGAAGGAUCAACAACCUUGCUAAGUCAGAACUGCUCAUGAUCUCAGCCAACCCAGCACUUCAUCACAACCUCUCUAUACAGCUAGGUUGGUCAACCAUAACUCCUUCCAGGACAGCCAGGAACCUUGGAGUUGUGAUGGAUGAUCAGUUAAGCUUCACAGACCAUAUGGCUACAACAGCCCAGUCCUCCUUGUCCAAGCUCUUGUUCUCUCCAGACUGGACUAUUGUAAUGCUCUCUUGGCAGGUCUUCCGGCAUGUACUAACAAGCCUCUGCAACUGAUCCAGAAUGCAGCAGUCAGAGUGGUCUUUAACGAGCUGAAGAAAGCUCACCUCACACCUCUCUUCAUCAGCUUGCACUGGCUGCCAAUAGCUGCUCGCAUAAAAUUCUAAGUAUUGAUGCUUGCUUACAAGACAACCACUGGCGUUGCACCAAUAUACCUAAACUCGCUAGUUCAGACAUACACGCCCUUCAGAAGCUUGCAGUCUGCAAGUGAACGACGCCUUGUGGUGCCAUACCAAAGAGGCACAAAAUCACGUUCACGGACCUUUUCCUGGACUUUUCCCAGCUGGUGGAACAACCUGUCUAUCUCAAUCCGAGCAUUUUCAACAAACAUCUAAAGACACAUCUUUUUCACCAUCACCUGACCAAAUAAUACUAGUACUUACCUAUUCUAUUCGGUCUAUAUAUAUAUAGC